CUCCUUUUCUCUUGUCCUUGGACGCGAGACAUAUGGGCUUAACCAUCCCUAAACAUUCAGAUUUCUUCCCAGGGGUUAAGCAGAAUAGAGAUAUGGCUAACGCAAUUCCCCAAAAGCAUAGAAAACCCACCUUCUCUGGCGCUUGUAGUAGCCAUCUUUUGGCUUAUUGUAACAACUUCAUCUUUCGAAAGAAACCCUCCGACCCAGCUCAAGCACUACAAGGAGCUCUAACUUCUCUCGGCAAUUGCAGGAGAUGGAAUUCAAAGCAAAAAAUCGGACCUUGACGCUUCCACCUCUUCUGAGAACUGGAAACCCCACAAAGGUCGGAUCUUUAGAGGUCAACAUUGAUGAAUCCCUUCGUCGAAAGCUCCGUGAAAGGAGCAAUCGCCCGCGUCAUUCGAAACUCAGAGGGGACGCUUGUGGACGACUUCGCAAGAGGAGGAAAUGCUGAUGAAAUAGGCGAUACAUCUCGACAAUGAAUAGCGUGACCUGCUUUUAUUUACCUUUGAAAGGACAUGCGAAUCGUUCCAACAUCGUGGCCAGAGCGCUCGAUAGGUUGGAGCGUUAUUUUCAUGAGCCGAUUGUUUCUCUGCUGCAGUAGCGCAAUGAACGAUAUUCCAACAAAGUAUCUCAUUUUCAUACAUGUAUGUCUCGAGUUGUCUAUUAUAAUUUUCUCGCAUCACCACCGCCGUACGUCCAUGCCCAACAACAUUGUAUGAAGAAUGAUAUCUACUUUUAGAAAGAAUUUCACUCCAAGUUCGUCUCAAGACGAUUUUCCAAUGAAAAUGGCAUCUACUUUUGUUCCAAACCCAAAUUCACCAUUAGAACUGACAAAUAUAAUUAAAGAAGUUUCUCACUGGUAGCAAUUGAUUUUCUUUUUCUAUUGAUUACUUUUGAUAUAUCCUAGGUCAACCAUCUUGACUUCCAAUUUUUUGAUAAUAUGUUAUGAUCUUUUCGGGGCAUAUUUCUGCCAAAAAUAAAGAACUAAGAUGACUGGAUAUUCAAGAUCCAACUACACUAUCCUUUGAUAAGACUAAUCAUUCUCAAUAAUCUUGGCUUUCUCACAUCUUUAAUUAGCCUAAUACUUGACUUGGAGGAAUCAUCACUUUCUCUUGGACUCUUUUCUUCAAAUCAAUUUUCAUGUUCUAGGCAUAAUCUUAUGAUUGGUAGUGAGUAUUUUUUAGCCGAUUCCAAAAGUUAAAAUACUCUGAUUCCAUGCUAUGUUAGGAAUUUCACAUAUUGUACUGUUUGAUUGUGUUAACGAUAGAAAUGAUAGAAUGUCUUCCUUAGAUUUGUACGCAAUCACUUGGAUGGGUAGCUGAGCUGUUUCUUUUUCACCGAUUUUGAGAAGGGAUGCGUUCAUUGUUGCAAUUACAAAGCUUCAUUGUCCACGUUUUUAAGCUAUUUUAAGAAAAUCUCAAUUCCACCAACGACAGCGUUCACAUUCUUUGCCUCCCCUGCAUUUUUCAAUAGAGAUACAACUCUUUGUGUAUUUGUUCCUUCAUGUAACCUAAGAAAUCUCUUUUUGUUUCAUUAAAAAAAAAAAAAGAAUAGCCACUCAAAUUAAAACGAAAACUAACAAAUAAAAGGAUAAUUGACAAAAACUCUCUUUCGUAAAGAACGUGGUUAACUCACAGUUAUGGAAGUAUACAACUGAAACUAUCCAAUUCACCCAAAACAUGAUUAUUAGUCACAAUAAUUAUAAUAAUUACCAGGUGCAACAUUUUUUCUUACUUGAAUGAAUAACUUUGCAAUAAUUUUGCAGAGCAAAGACCGUAGCAGGAAAUGCGAAGCCGAGUUAUGCUCAAAUAUCUAGUGAUGCUUGCUUUUCUCUAGAAAAAAAAAUCAAUUUUUUGGGGCAUGAUGCGAUGAGGAUUUGUCAAUUAAAUUGGAUUUUUUUUUUGUGAUUGAUUAAUUAGUAUUGAACAUAAAAAGAAUUAUCAUUGAAAAUGACACAGUGCCUCCAUUUAUGAGAUAUGGCAAGUAUUGUGGGCUCUUGUAUAGCGGAUGUCCAGAGGAGAGGCCCUACGACGGCCUUGACGCUUGCUGCAUGAAGCACGACGUCUGCAUUCAAGCCAAAAACAGUGAGUUUCGGCAUCAAUUCCUUCAACUUUUCUUCAUUGAAUCAAUUGAUAUAACUAGUUAGUGGCCCACAUGUUUGCAUGGAUGUAUUUUAUGAGGACGAUUGUGGAAGCCAUUUUUGUUGGUGAAUAAUAGCUUUACUCGUCUAUACACGCAUGGAUUCACAUUCCUAAAAAAACAUAUUAUGGAGUGGAGAUAGAGAAAAUGGCAUAAGGGACUAAUGGGUCAAAAGAAAGAAGAGACAUGAGUAAGAUUAAUGUGCCUACGAGGGCUCCCCUCUUCCACAAUGUCAUUAAACUAUCUCUUCAUUCAUAAGCCAACUUUAAUCACUAUUUUGAGGUCUGGGGUAGGGGAUUGUGAGGGAGUAAAUGCUCUUGUGAGGGCAAUGACAUCAACAUCUGCUUUUUAUUACAAAGAGCGCAUGUCUAGAUUUCUCUUUCUCGUGGACCGGUCGGGGACAAUAACUUCAACUAAUACUCUAGCUCGUCAAAUGUUCUAAGUGAUGGCGAUGAAAUCAUAUCGCGUGAUUGUUCAAUUUGAACUUUUAUUCAUAGAGCAGGUUGUGUCGUCCUCAUAGAAAUAUUGGAAUUGUGACGCUGAGACCUGGCGGGGUGUUGUGCAGAUGACUAUUUGAGCCAGAAAUGCAGCCAAAACUUACUGAACUGCAUGACCAACUUCAAGAACUCCAGAGGGAGAACGUUUAAAGGAAGCAAAUGCCAAGUCGAGGAUGUUGACGUCCUCUCCAUUGUCAUGGAAGCUGCGUUGCUUGCCGGGAGAUACUUCCACAAGCCCUGAAUCUCUCUGUCCACGUUCCACGGAUAUAUCAACUCUGAUCCCUUCACUCACUUUGUGAUCAUCCCUUUCUUCUUUGAUUUUUUUCCCUUCCGGCGGUUCGUCUUUGUUCUGUUGCAAUAAAUGGGAAAAAGGAAAAUGAAAAUGUAAGGUGCCUCUGUUUUCCUUUCCUGUAGAAGUGGAAGAGUUAUGAAAGCUGAUUAUGGAGUUCAAUUUUAAUUGCAGAAACCAGAAGCUGCAGCGGCCAUGGAGUUCAAAACCCAAGAUCCGCCUAGCUAACUUAGAAUGCCAUAUAAUGCGGAUCAAACGUGGGACCCGGUACUUGGGUAGUACCCAAUGGGUACUUAAUUAGCUAAUGCGAACAUUCUCAUGUUCGGGGUGAAAGAAUUUGAUUUUACCGUAAGGGCAACCAAAAAUGACAUUUGAAUCGUUGACAAAUAGCUUUCUAACAUCAAGCCAGCAACUGUCCCAGUUAUCAAAAUAGGUUCUCUCUAAAACAAAAGAAUUUCGAAUGGAAAUUGUUAAAUUUUCACUAACUUGGAUUAUGCCAAAUCAUGAAACUCCGCGUCUGCACCCCUCUGUUUCGGAUGUUAGGAUAUUCAAUCUUCGGUGUUAGGAAUCACAUAAUCAUUAUUGAUAUUUUUCUCAAGUUCAUAAGGACAUGGCUGUCAAGUGUCAUUCCUUCAACAAAUCAGGCGUUGGAUGGAUACAGUUCCAGAGUCUCAAGCUGCCUGAACUGUUAAGAACAGUAAUUACAAAUUGCAACCUUCAUGAACUGCAUCAAUUCAAAUAGCCACUCAAAAACUGAAAAAUAUCACCAAGAAAGGCAUUAACAGCUCCUGCAGAUCAGGGCUACAUCAUAAGAUCAACUUGUUAUCCCCUAAAUUUAUUAGCACCGAAUCAUGCUGCGAGGUGCCAGCGAGGAAUCUUCAUCUUUUAUAGCGGUCUUGACACCACAACUCUCACAAAGCAAGAACAGCGUCCAGCUCUGCCUUCAUUCCGGUGACAAAACAAAUGGUCCGCUUUACACGAUCACUUCAUUCAUAAUCUCACGAUAGAACCACCUGCACAUGUGGUUCUGUUUUAGUUUAUAUAUCCCAGAUCAAAGUGCCAUCCCUUCUUUUAUCCUAGAUAGCAUGAUAUAGUAUAUCUUGCUAUUUUGAACUUCCGGAAUGAGCAUCAACACCUUGUUUGGCAUAAAAAAUCUAAUGCCUGAAUGAACAUAACAUCAAAUCAAAAGAUAAUUUUCCAGAAAGGAUGAACUUGAUCGAUUUUCAGCCCUUGGUCAAAUUUGACACGUUAAUCUGAUCAAGGAAUCCAAAAUGGCCACUGAAUCUUGUGAAGAAAUAUAGCAGUGUAUCAAAAACAUGCUGAUGAUUUAACAUGAAAAGAAUUGUUAAGGGACAUAAAUAACUGAAGCUUAAGGGAUUUCCUAAAGAGUACAUAUGGCUUAUUUGAAGCAAUUAACUAUUCAAGCUGAGCAUGCUCAUGGAUAAUAUGAAAUGGAAAACAUUUGCAUAAGGGAGUAAACAUAACCAAAUUGAUUUCAAGGAAGGAAGCAAAUCAUUCUUCAAUAGUAUUACUUCAAGACAAUUAUAACUCAGAUUUGCUUGUGAUAGUCAUUAAUAGCUUAUCCAAGAUGAACAAUCUUACUUGAUGACUUGUGAGAUUUGAUGUAUUUAGAAGGCAUUCUGAUCACUUUUGGUAUUAUCAAUAGAAUGAUUUCUUUGAAGCAUCACGUCAGAAUCCUGGAUCAGCUUCCCUAUUCCUCGAAUCAUGUAAGAGAAGGAAAAUAAUACCUUGUUGUCAUUGAAUAUGAUAAAGUUGACCUAAUUAUUUUACGUAAAAGGAAAAGGAGACAAAAUAAAAAUUAUCAACCUUUUCCCCUCCUCUUUCAUCAUAAAAUUUGAAAAUUUGGAUAUUAAGUAUUACAUAUCCAAAAUAAAAUAUAUAAAUUAAAGAAAAGAACUAACAAAUCCGGUUCAUUAAAAAGUUUCAAUGUAAAGGAAAAUAUUUCUCUUUUAUUUUAUUGAAAAUAUGUUUGCUUUGUAAACCUAAAGUUUUCAAUCCAUCAUUUUGUACCUUUUUUAACUAAUAGUCCAUAUUUUUAUUCUGUGAUUAAAUAUUAAAUCUCCUCCUGCUAUGUUGCUAUUUUCAAAUUGUCAAUACAUUAACAAUAGAAAAUUUUCAGUUGACGAAAACAAAUCUCGUAACGAAAGAAGUUCGUAACUUACUAGUUUCAUUAACAUUUCUGUAAAUAUAUUAUAGUGCCACACCGGUAAAUAUGAGAAAAAUUGGUCAUUAACUAAUUUAUUGGGACUUCGGUAAAAAUCAUUUCAAGGUUACUAACCAGGUUUAUAAAAGUUGAAAAAAAUCGCUGAUUUACCGAUUUAUUAAAACGUUGCUAAAUUCUUCUACUUUUUUUGUAUAAUGAUACAAAACUCGUACGCCCCGAAAGCAUCGCGACCAGCAUCUCCAUUCCUUGGAACUACUCAAAGACAAAAGUACAAUAAUGUGUGCAAUAGUUUGUGUGACAGACAUUUCAUUAAUAUGUUAAAUUUGUAUCUCAUUUUUCAUUUAUGAAUGUCCCAGAUCACCUACUACAAUUUUCUCAAGUCCCCACCACCAUGCCUUUGUACCUAGCAACGAUGAAUUAUAAAUGAUGUAUACUUUUCGAAUGAAUUUAACUUUAACGGAACCAUUAACGACCUAAUUUUAUAAUGUGCAAUGCUCAUUGCUCAAUCACACCGCUUCAUUGACUAAGUGAAGCCAUUUCCAAAACCUUUUCAGCCCAUAGGCGAGAGCAUUGCCCAACUCACCCUCUGCUUUCUAUCCAAUUUAACUAUUUUUCUAGGAAAAUGCCUUUGUGUUGUGCCCGAUAGUAUUUUCUUGUAUUGGUAACAUCACACAUUUUAUUGAUGACGUAGGAUUCGUCAUGAGGUUCAGACAUUGAGUGAGGUUAUUCAUUUUGAGCUCCGCCGCAUGAUCUAUUUGAGGAAAGCCCUAUGUGAGAUUUUUAUAGGAGCUGACUCUAUAGUAUUGACAUUCAUCUCCUUAACGAAGUCGAGUGCCCGAAAUGUAUUUAUUGUUAAAAUGGGAUGUUCAAAACUCUUCAAGCACUUGAUAUGUUGUCAUUUAGAUAGCAAUGUCUAUGUCCCGCAAGUUCUGGUCAAUUUCUGAGCAAACGAAUCCAUUGCGAGAAUUUCAAAGCUUCAUUCUAGAUGAGUAAAAGCCAUUUUCUAGAAUGUCUCAGCUACUCCAACCAGCAACUGUGCAAGUGAUGAUAAAAGAACAUGACAACUAUCUUCCAAGUCAAUUUGCCCUCCUCAUAUUGCUAGCGAGCUAUUCCUAUGUCAAGAUUACAGUUUUAGUAUGAAGUCCUCGCUCCUGAUGCAGUACCAAUUAAACACUCCACAGAAUUAAAAAUCAUAUGCGCAGCUCCUCCCACUUCAUUUCAGAGCCAUAAACAGCUGGUAGUACCCGAGCUCUGAAGAUUUUUUGUCCCAAAAAUGGUGCACAUUUCUGGCUGAAACCAAUUCCAUACAAUGGCAGCUGUAACAAAACAUUCUGAUUUGAGCUGUAGUUCAAGAAAAGAUGGCAUUUAGAGAUCUAGAUCAGCUCUCAAACAUUAGAAGACUAAAGCAAAUCACCUUUCUAGCCACCCAUUGAUUACUAGUCAUGUUUAUCUCAAAAACAUGAAAGCAAUAUAGUUGAUUUAAGGACUUCCUCCAUACUUCUGGUUUGGAUCUCACUGUUAUCCACAAUACAGUGGAAAUCCUCUGUUCUUUUAAAGCCUCUAGGGCGUAGACAUAGUCAUCACCAAACAAUGACCAAACUGAAGUAAUAGAUUGCGAAUGAUGUUAAGAUACGAAUUUGCAAGAUGAUUAAUAAAGGCAUGAAGCAAAACAAGGAAAGAGCGGCAACAUGAUUUGUACUGGAUUUCCACCAUUGAUGAAAAUACUUUCAGCCCGAUCAAGGCCAUAUAUCUGCCUUCAAAGAGAGCAACCUCACAUUGGCAUAUUAAGUGACGAACAAAGUUUGAUCCAGAUCCAUGGAGAUUCAUCAUCUUGACAUUGGUGCCCUGGCUUUGAGAAAAUGCCAAACACAUCUAUGGUAUUCAGUGCCCACUUCCAUGACCUAAUAGCGAAUUAACAAAAUGCAAUCAAGAUCACAUAUGCAUGAGCGGUUUCCAGAAUCCAUCGGAUAGUGAAUUUUUCUACUUCAUAGAAGUUGGAUAGAAGUAUUACUUUAUUUACACAAGCGCAGAUCGAUACCAUGUCAAGAAUGAAGAAUCUCAUGCUAUUUGAUUGAAGACAUCAAAUAUCCUUUUGGAGGCAAUCUGAUCUUUUUAUUUCAUUGAAUGAUCACGAGCCAUAUAACACACAAGCAUUACACUUACUUUGCUCAAACAACUUCCUCCAGUUGCUGGAAUUAAGACAGGAAAAUAAUAUCUUGUCAAAGAAAAGCCUUGUCCAAACUGAAAAUACUAAUGGAAGCAGUGGAGAUUACGGCACUAUACCUGCUAUAUUUUUUGUUUAGUAGGAGAUGUUAGCAAUCUUCAGAAUCAAAUCUUUUUCUUUCUCUCUUAUCUCCAUUUUCUUUCUACAUGAGCUUUCAAUUUAAGAGGGAGCUAAGCAUCUCUUUUUUCUCCCAUUAAGCCAAUGACCACUUUCCUAGUUUAGUUGACUUUUCAACCUUCUCUUUUGUUUUUUUUUUUUGUUUUCUUAGGCUCCAGAAGUUCUUUUUUACUUGGUCAAAUCCCAAGUAUUACAGUAACUUCAUCACCAUAAGUCAAUUACAACAUACUGCACCAAACUACUAGGGAUAAGAAUUAACACCAAAUCAGUAACUCCUCUACCAAUCGGCGUGCUUCAACUCUUAAACUUGCGGAUGAACAUCCCAAACUAGCUUUUAUGUAUUAAUGUAAAAAUAUAGUACACUUGUUCAACAAAAGCAGAUUUGAACAGUGACAUAAUUAUCUGCAACAAUCAAAUUGGACAAAACAAAUGUUGCUUAUUUUAUGGCGGCAACAUCUAAAGCCUCCAAACUAAGCUCCAAAGAUUGAUCUUCUUCCUUACCAUUCCACAAUCAAGCUUCCUAAGCAGCACAGAUGGAGUUUUUUAAGGCGAAUCAGGGAGAGACUCAACAACAGAACAAUGCAGCACAAGCGAUCGAGGGCACGGCUCAAUCAUGGACCAACCUUCUUGCCCAACAUGAGAAAAGAAAAAAUGUUGAAAAGCUAAGGAACAUACAAUAAGUUGGCCAAAGCAGUCUCCACCCCUGCAUCAAACAUAACCCAUCCCCGCUAGAGUCGCAAUCUUCAAAUUCAUAGUUGAACUAACCAACAACCAGAUAUUUCUCAAGCACAACUCAACGUCGUUCUUCGACACCUUUUUGUGAACUGAAAUCUUCAGGUAACUUAAAAGAAAAGCCACUUACUGUCAGAUUCAGUCAACUUUGUACUCUGAAUUUCACAUCGGUGCAGGCGACAGUCGACUAGCAUAGAGUUUGUAACCUUCAAAAAGCAAGACCAUCACAUUAUAGAGGAUCCAUACAGAGGAUGACAGAAUGAAAACCAACCAUGCAAAUAGAAACAAAUUAAAUGGUGUUUCUGUUACAACAUUAGAAAUCAGAAGGUACAUCCUGACCUUGUCAGCAAGACAAGAAUUAUUUUGCUACAAUAGGCCAUAAAAUGCAAACUUUUAUGUUUCUGAAGGUUUGAAGCACUGAGUAUUGAAUAAAAGACACAUUGCAAAUGCUAAAAACAAUAGUAUAGAUGAAAGUUAGAAGCAAAAGUUCUUCCAAACACACCAUAGUGUCAAAGCUCGAUAACCCCUAGUGAAAGAAGAAACCAAUGGACUUCUAUUAUCACAGCUCAAGCUUCUGCAUUUUCCCCCAGUCAGAAGGAGAUGAGAAGAAUUCCAUUCAACUAGAAAGCUAGCAAAAUAAAAAAAAGUAAGGACAAAAUGAACAAGCCAUAUCACCAUCACAACAAUUCAGACAUUAGCAUCCUUUUCCGUGUGAAAUUAGCUGCCUUCAACACCAUUUCACCACAUUAUUAGCUAACUGGUAUGAGUGAGGACAUCCUCAGAGAAUCUUAUCAGAAGGAAGUCCACAUACUCAUGAAGAAAAUGAUACUUUGGAUCAUAGGUACAAACAAAUGGUUCAGAGGAGAUUGUUCAUCUUUCCACUUCUCAUCACCCCUCAAGGUGCUUCAAGAUCCGAGAACAUGAAAGAAAUGGCUAUGAAAGUAGAACCUCAUCAAUCAAGGUAAUCUUCCCGUUCAACCUAAAGUUAGUUCACAUUAGUUUCGACAACUCUGCAGUCAAUUUCCACGCUACCUAGACAGGGUGAUAAAAUCAACCUAAACUUGUAAUAGGCUUGUAAGUCUUGAUAAUCCUGCUAUACUUGCUUUAUGACUGCUCGGAUAACAUAAGGAAAAUGCACCACCAUUGACAGGAAACCUAAUCAAAAGCUGCUAUAGCUAUCUCAUUACACCAUAGCAAACUGGUAGAAGAGAAUAACCGAGCAGAUUUCUGCACCUAACAGGAAUCACAAGCUGAUAAAUAUAACAGGACAACUAAACAUGCUUCGCUGAACAUGCAGAAAAGCUCUAGUCUUAUUUCAUUUCCUCCAUGUGCAGACAUCGAACAUCCAAAAUCAGACCAAUAAUAGCGACUCAAAACCUCAAAUCACCAGAAUGCGCAUGCACCAAUCACAACAAGAAUCAAACCAAUCAAUCAGUGACAAGAAUGGAUUAAUGUUAAAAGGGGUCCAAUCACCUGGACUCUGAAGAUAUGGCAACCAGAAGCAAUGAAGACCCAACAUGAAGAUCCUUCCAUUCAAGCUGGAGCACAAGGGUCAAAGCAAUCAGUGAGCAUGAAUCUCACUUUCGAAUUAGUCAUCCCAUCGUCAUCCACCAGAAGGAAGACAGAAACAGACCACCAGAUGAUGCUGGACCCCUCAAUCUCUUCCCGUUCUCUCUGUGCUCGAUUUCCACCCUCCUCUUCUUACACCCAUCCCUAGAAUCACAAGACGCAAUGCAAUCGGCUUAAAGAGCGUCCUCCUUGCAUCCAUAUCCCAGAUAUUUGGUUUGGAUCUCACACCAUUGCUGAAAUUACAGCAAAGCUCGUGGUCAUUUAAAGAAAUCAGGAGCAUGAGAAAUUGUCAUCACCAAGUGAAGAACGAAUAGAAGGAUGCAAAUUCAAUAUGUAAAGAUAUUGAUGGUAUGAACAAAAGAGAUGGAUAUAGGCACGAUGAAGAAAAGAAAGAGCGCAAAACGAUUCCCGCAAAAUGAUUCCUACCAGAUUUCUACCGGAUAGGAUGUUACUUUUGACAGAAUCAAGGCCAUAACUCCACCAUCAGAUUGAACAAUCUACGUAUUAGCACUUCAAUUGACAAACAAUGUGGAAUUAGAUCCUUGGAUAUUCAUCAUCUCAACAUCGGUGUCCGAAAAGUAAUAAUCUUAUGAUGAUGCCUCUAGUGGCUUAUUAAUCCAUGACAGAAAAAGUGGACAUAAGCUACAAAAAAUGCAAUUGAAACCACAUAAACAUGAGUAGUUGCUAUGAUCAAGCAAUCCUUAGAAGUGUUAUUCCACAUUGGUUGAGUAAAGGGCAUCGAUGCAUGAACGAAUGAAAAAAUCACAUAAUAAACAUCCUAUGCUCUAGGAAACCAACUUUAAUAGAACUUGGAAAAACGCAGUACUCUGUUUGCAGAAGAACAUAUUCUUGUCAUGUCAAGGACGAAGAGUCUUACUCUGUGAUUGAUGACGUAUAAUGACAUGCAAUGUCAUAUACUCCAAAGGCAUUCUUAUCUAUUUUCUUUCCCACCAGGAUCACAAGCCAGAUGAUGCUAAAGCAUCACAUUCACGUGGUCGACUAGUUUCCCAAGAGUCCUUGAAAUAAGAGGAAAUCAAUAAGACACCGACACGAAAGGCCCCAUGCCAAACUGAAAAUCCUAAUGUAAAGUAGGUACUCUCAACUGCUAUAUUUACAUUUACCAGAAAACGCGGAUGCUCUCCAGAAUCCGAUCUCUGUCAUGCUGUUGUCAUGCAAAUAUUUUUUCAUAAUUCUACAUGGGGUAUAUGUGUUCAUCAUCAUUCUGGUAUUCUCUGUGUAGAUGAAAAUAAACGAACAUGAUUUCUCUCAUCAGGAUUCAGAGACACACAUUAACUAUUGUGCAAAUGAUGAUAAAAGAACAUGACUAGUAUCUUCCAAGUCAAUUUGCACUUCUAAUAUUGCCAAUGAGUUAUUCUUAUUGUCAAGAUUAUAGUGUAGUUGGAAAUGCUUGCUUCUGAUGCAGUACCAUUUAAGCUCUCCACAGAAUUGAAACGCACAUGCAUAACUCCUCCUACUUCUUUUCAGAGCCAUAAACAGUAGGGUAGUACUCAAGCUCUGCAGAUUUUUUGUCCCCGCCAUCAGCCAAGCUAAAAAUAGUGCACAUUUCUGGCUGAAACCUCAAUAAUUGCAGGAGUGACUUUCCAAUUCUGUUCAGUGGCAGCUGUAGCAAAAAAUUCAGAUUUGAGCUGUAGAUCAAGAAAAGAUGGCAAUUAGAGAUCUAGAUUAGCUCUCAAACAUUAAAGGACUUAAGCAAAUCACCUUUCUAGCCACCCAUUGAUUACUUGUCAUGUUUAUCCCAAAACCAUGAAAGCAAUAAGGUUGAUUUAAGGGCUUCUUCCAUACUUCUGUUUUGGAUCUCACACUGCUAUCCACAAUACAGUGGAAAUCCUCUGUUCUUUUAAAGCCUCUGGAGUGGAGACAUUGUCAUCACCAAAUAAUGAUCGAACUGAAGAAAUAAAUUGCGAAUGAUGUUAAUGUAUGAAAUCGCAAGAUGAUAAUUGAAGGCAUGAAGAAAAACGAGGAAAGAGUGGCUUCAUGAUUUGUACUGGUUCUGACCGUUGUUGAUAAUACUUUCAGCCUGAUCAAGGCCAUGUAUCUGCCUUCAGAGAGAGCAAUCUUCACAUUGGCAUGUUAAGCAACGAGCAAAGUUCAAUACAGAUCCAUGGAGAUUAAUCAUCUUGACAUUAGUGCCCUGGCUUUGAGAAAAUGCAGAACAUGUUUAUGGCACCUUCACUGCCUACAUCCAUGACCAAAUAACGAAUUAAUAAAAUGCAAUCAAGAUCACAUAUGCGUGAGCAGUUUCCAAAAUCCAUCAGAUAGUGAAUUUCUCUACUUCAUAGAAGUUGGAGAGAAGUAUUACUUUAUUUAAACAAACACAGAUUGAUACCACGUCAAGAAUGAAGAAUCUCGUGUUAUUUGACUGAAGACAACAGAUAUCCUUUUGGAGGCAUUCUGACCUUUUGUAUUCAUAUCAUGAUCACGAGCUAGAUAACACUGAAGCAUUACAAUUACUUUGCUCAAACAACUGCCUCCAGUUGCUGGAAUUAAGACAAGAAAAUUAUAACGUGUCAAAGAAAAGCCCCGUCCAAAUUGAAAAUACUAAUGGAAGCAGGUUAUCUCCACAGAAAAACGACACUAUACCUGCUAUAUUUUUUUUUUCAGCGAUCUCCAGAAACAGAUCUUAGUCAUCCUCCAUAGAAUCUGAAUAUUCUUCAUAAUCCUGUAAAGCAGAGCAGGGUUACCAAGUCAAUCUUUUUGGUGUGGCUCGCAUCAAAUUGUAUCCAGUACUAUCAAACGUUAGAUCUGACGAUAGCCAGGAAACCUUAGUCAGCUUCUUGCUGUUGCUUACCUCAAUAAUAAAGUCUGGUAAUUUCUUGAGUGACUUGCACCUAGACCUAUAAAAGUACUCCAGGAAUUUACUAGGGCAGCGAAUUUCAACUAAGCUUUUGCAACCCCUAACAUCCAACCUCUUCAGAUGCUCCGACUUUGAAAGGUCCAGUACUUGAAUGUGCUUGCGCCCAGAAAUAACCACCGUUUCCAAGGAUCCCAAUUUUUCAAGGCCUUCUAUCGCAUGGAGAUGAUCCACCUUUUCAGCAGAUAAAUGCCAUAGGUACAACACUCUUAGGGAUUUUAAAGAUCCCAGUCCAUCCAAUUUCUUUAGCCCAUCGCAGUUGUUGAGCUCUAAUUCCGACAAAAAUUCCAAAUCGGAAAGAUUUGGAAACCUUUCCACUUUGGGACAAUCAUGAACGUCAAGCCUCUGUAUGCAGGAGGGAAGCUCUGGGAUCUCUUGAAGAGACACGCAAGACCAAAGGGAGAGCGACUGCAGAUGAUUCAGGUGAGAGAGCAAUGGGAUGCUUUGAAGAGACUUGCAAUAGAAAAGGGUGAGCCUUUGUAGAUGCUCCAGGUGAGAGAGCGAUGGGAUGCUUUGAAGAGACUUGCAAUCAAGGAAGAGCUGUUGUAGAUGCUUGAGGUGAGAGAGCGAUGACAACUCAUUGCUCCGACCGCCGAGCCCCAGGUAUGAUACGCUAAAAGGAGGUUUUGGGAGUGACUCAAGCUCAUGACAGUAACCUAAAUCGAGGUGCUUGAGAGAAGAAAGCUGAUCUAAGUUUUCCGGCAAGCCAGAAAUUUUUGUUUCGUUGAAACGAAGGGUCUUUAGAGAAGACAAUCCACCUUUAUCAACGAGAAUUUGUCCUUUUAGUUUUCUGCAAUAGGCGGCAUUAAGCACUUGGAGGUUCUGCAAUUUUCCAAUAGAGCUCGGUAUCCUUUCUAUUUCACAAGCAUAAAUAUUCAAAAUUUUCAAUUUGUGUAAUUUCCCAAUGGAUUCAGGUAGUUCCUUAAUCCUUGAAUGUGACAAGUUCAGCUCAACCAACUCUCCCAACUUCCCAAUUGAACAAGGGAUCUUUUCCAAUGACGAAAGUCCUUGCCAAGCCCACUGGGCACUACUAAGCCUCUUCAGCUUCUUCAGAGAUCCUAUACAUGGAGGGAUUUCUUUUAUCGAAGUCUCGUCUACGACAAGUUCCUCCAAAUUUUCUAGUUUGCCAAGUUGUUCAGGUAACAUCUUGAGACUUCUACAACCACUCAAGUUCAAGAGAAGGAGACGCUUGGCAUAUUGAAUGGAAGGGUCAAUUUCCUUCAAAUUAGCACAACCUUCUAGGAUUAACCACUCUAAAUUUUCACAAGCGGAGAGAUUAGGGUUGCUCUUCAAUGUCGAGCACCGCGAAAGAUUGAGAACUUUCAACCUCUCCAUCUACAAGAAAGAAACAUGUUUCAAGAUUAGCAAUUUAAAAUAUAAUGAUUUAUCAUCAAAUGUAACAAAAGAGAAAAGCCUUUUCAUCUUUACCUUAAUUGAACUCCAUCCUCUCCUCUUCAAAAAAAAAUUCCAUCCUCUCCAAUUUUCACUAAUACGAUUUUGAAUAUCUUCAUGACUUGAUAACUCAAGCACCACUAAUUUCUCCAAAUGAACACUAGUCGCCUCGAAAGAGUCGCAACAUCUCUCCCACUUUAACCAUCUUAAUUCAGAAAGUGAUCCUUCGAAAUCUCUAGCAAAACCCACAGCUUUCAAAUGAAGGAACUUUAAGUUAGGCAUUUUUUUGAAGCUCUUUCGCAUCAUGAACUCUCUAGAGCCCCUUUCAUCCAAACGUAGUGCCUCAAUAUUUUCAUUAUCCUCCUACAAAAAAUCAAAAAUAAAAUGAGGAUUAUAAAUACCAUCCAACCUCCUCCCGUUAGUAUACUUUGCAUGUUAUUGUGGCUGAUGCAUUUUGUCUACACUAAUAGGGCAAAAAGAAACAUAUCUAAUCUUCUACAAUUAUGUGAUCAUGUCGUAUGUCAAUUUUCACUUUUAUGCCCUAAGUUUUGAUGUUUUAUGUGAAAUUCCUAUAUAAAAUUAUUCUAGGUUUCUAAAAAAUUUUGAAAUUAAAUUUUCUAACAUAGGCAAUAUUGACGACUGACUAACUAUGGUGUACCCUUCGACAUAUGUGAGAACUGUUACACAUUUCAAAUACAAAAGGUACCUAAUUAGACUUAUGCACUCAUAAAGCAUCACAACUCAUUUCCUCCUUGUUCAUAAAAUAGUUUUGGUUUGGGCAUAUGGCUAGAUGGAAACAAGAAUUUGGUCUAUGAAACUUGAGUUUUCAUUUUUGGGUAUUCAAGCUCAAAGCUCAACAACUAAUCCUUAGACUAGGAAGAAAUUGCCUAAUCAAUCAUAAACUUACCAAUUUUACUGAUUUAGUCUUAACCCUUUUCGUGAAAUUCCAAUUUAAUUUUUUUCGGCCAAUUUUUAUAGGAAAUCACUAAGGUGACGAUGUGUCAUAUAGAACGGUCGAAAAUAAUUGGACCACCAUGUUGAGGAUUUUUGGCUAAAGUUAAUCUAGGAGACUACAUUGAAAUUUUGCAUAGAGGUUUAAUACUAAAUUGACAGAAUUAGUAAAUUCAUGACUAAAUUGAUAUCUAUACAACAAUUUUAAAACUGACUGGAUCAUUUUCCUUUGAGAUGAGCAUACCAUUCAAUUAGUCAUCAUUGAAUUUGCCCCAAUCAAUCAUAAAAUUCAACCUGAUCUUAAAUUGGGUUAAUGCAUUUUUUGCCAUUCAACCAAUUAUAUAAAAAUAUAUGAAUUAGUAAAUAAAGAAUAGCGAUUAUUAUCGUUUUCCUUUUUGUGCAUUCUGACAUUUCUUUUCUGCUCCUCCAGUUAUCUUAUUCCAUAAGUUAAUUAUCUGUUUUCUCUCCACUAAUAUGUAACAAAAGAUUUUUGUCUUCUCUGUAAUAAAGGCUCAAUUAAUCGUACCAAGAAAAGCUCGCUCAUUACAUAAUAGAGGUGGAUAUUGUAUUGCACAAAAGGCAAAUAAAAGGAGGAGAACACAAUUUCUUUCUCAUUUCACUAUUUCGUCACUCAAUCAUUUAAUUUCUUAAUGUCGAUAUUUACUUUUGAAUUUUUUUUAUCGAAAAUCACUUGGUAUAAAUAUGUACCAAAUUAUAUGACAGUUGUUAUUUAGUUUCUUAUGUCGUAAUUUACUGUCGUUUGAUUUUGCACAACAUUCAUUGAUGUUGAAUUAUGUGCUUAAAAUACCUAUCACUAGAUCCGUGCAUAGCACCGGUAUGAACACAGAGUAUAUAUUAUGAAAGCUAGGUAGACAUGAAAUAGCCUUAUGAUGUUGCAUCACAUAUCAAAAGCCUAUGAGUUCUCAUCUUUCAUAUGAAUGAAUAUGAUUGAUCCAUCACACACAUGCAGUGCUCAUAAUAAAAAAUAAAUAUUGUUAAUUAUGCCAAUUCGUUUAUAGUUAAUGUAUCUUGAACAAUCUUCCAAUUUUUUUUUUAAUGUAAUUUGUUAAUUUGACUGUAAGUUGGUAUAGGCGACAAUGAAAGAAAAGCCAAAGUCGCAAUAGAGAAUUUGAAUUUAAUCAUUUUUUAAAUGUGCCAGUCCUUUAAGUGAAUAGAAAAAAUAAUAGUUUUCUAUUUAUCAAUGACUAAGGCCCUGCAUGGCUGCACCUUAUUUCUGUUCCCAGGAACAAAAAUUUCUGUUUUUUUGUUCCAAGGAACAAAAAAGGAACAGAAACGUGUUUGGGUGCGUUUCUGUUCCUUUUUUGUUCUUUUGUUCCCAGGAACAAAAAAGAAACAGAAACAAGAAACACAAAUUUUGUGUUUCUUGUUUCUGGAACACAAAUCAGAAACACUUUUUUUUUCUUUUUUCUCUUAUUUUUUGUUCUUCUUUCUUUUGGCCGGUCGCCGGCGGCCUCGCCCAGCCACAGCGAGGCUCGCCGGCCCCCGGCGAGGCCGACGCUCGCCGUCCCUCGGCGAGGCCGAGGCUCGCCGUAGCUGGGCGAGGGUCGGCCUCGCCGUGGGUUGGCGAGCGUCAGAUCCGGCGCACGCCCGCCCUCGCGCCGGCAUGGGGGAGCUCGAUCUCGGCCCAGAUUUGCCUUCGAGCUCGCCCAGCCGCCGGCCGAGCCCUCCGGCCUCCGCCUGGCGGCCGCUGGGCGAGCCUCGGCCCUCGCCGGCCGGUCGCCGGCCAAGGCCUUGGCCCGGCGACCGGCCAAAAGAAGAAAAAAAAAUGAAAAAGAAAAAAGAAAAAAAGGAAAAAUAAGAAAAAAAUAGAAAAAAUAAAAGAAAUAAAAAAAUUAUCCAAAUUUACCAAACAUGUUUCUGUUUAUUUUUUAUUCCCGGAACAAGUUUACCAAACGCGUAUUUUUGUUCAAAAAUUGUUCCCCGGAACAGAAAUACUUUUUUCUAUUUCUGUUCCCUGGAACAAUUUUUAAACAGAAACACAACCAAACGCGCCCUAAGAGGCAUCCAAGUUUUGUAGUGUUGUUUCAAGUUAUCAACUAACCCACCACAUUAUUAACAUAAUUAUGCAUUUCUAAUUGCUAAAAAAAAUGAUAUAUUUAAAGGAACUUCUUCAAUUAUGUUAUUAACAUUCACUGAGUAAUACAAUUUAAACUAAAUCUUCAAUUUUCUUUGUAUUAAGUACAUGUACUUCUGCAUUUACAUUAUCAUAUUGGAUUUACACUGUGAAAAUGCAUAAUAAAUCCUAGAAAACAAAUUGUCAAAAUUCUUCAUACAUAUAAAACCACUGCAUAACAUCUUAUUACUUGAAAUUGAACAAAAUCUUAAGUUGAUAGUCAAUAGUUAAGGUGCAAAGGAUUUAACUGAAAUCUUUCUUUUUGUUGCAAAAAAGUAGAACCAGCACCCGAGGAAAUAGCACGUAUUUAUGGUUGGAAAUUGAAGACAGAAUAAUGUAUUCAAAUCUUGGAGAAGGAAAAAAGUAAAAAUUCAAGAUAGAAAAAGGUGGAAAAUAUGUGAUCCAUGUAUUUAUCUUCCCACCAACAUACUUCAAAAACUAUAUUGCCGAUAUAUUUUGAGAAAUAGAAUGAAAGACAACAAAGUAAUGAUCAACAGCAAAGUUUUUAGCGUUUGGUUGAAUAAAAUAAGUCGAUCGGCAAAAAUUUAUAAAGACCUGUGUGGUUUAAAGUGUGACGAACCGGAAUUAUAUGUGGCAUAAAGUAAAUCAUCAAACCUGCGUGAUGCUCGGUCUACAACAAGUACUACAUAGUAAGAAGCAGUAUCAAAUUUGCUAGUAAGAAGCAAUAUCAAAUCUAGUAGAAAACGAUGUUAAACCCACAAAAGAGCAAUAUAGACAGAGUCAAUACUAAACAAUUUUAUCAUCAUAUGCAUCAAGAGAUGACCUGUUGAAUGGUGACGAGUGCAAACUUUUCAUGAACUAUAGGCCAAAUUCGAUGUAGCUUUUACCAAGAAAAUGCUAACCACGUGUUGAGAAUGGUCAAGAUUUAGAGCAAAAGAACGAUAACGGUAAUAAUUUAAGGGACUACAAUUGGAGAACAUGGGAGAGAACAAAAGUAGACAUCAUUGUUACCUUACGUCGUAGAACUUCCAUGGCUUUCUCAUCCCAUAGUCUUCUAUAAUCCCAAGGCUUCUUAUCUGCUGGACAGGCGAUAGCUCUACCUAGAUCUCUUAAUUGAUCAUGCAUUCUCAAUUGAUUAUUGUAAUCAAUUUUUAUUAACGAGUGGUUAAUCAAUAUUUGCAAACUGCUAUUUGGGAAGAAAUUGAGAUCCACCCAAAAGCAGGUGGCAAUUCUUUUGUCAGUUCCGAUUAAAAAACAUGCAAUGUCUAGAAACAUCUGCUUUUCCUCAUAUUCUAAUGUAUCGUAACUUAUCCUCAACUUUUCUUUUACUUUCUCAUAAGGUGCAUUCCUCAAUUUCUCCAAAGUCUCUUCCCACACUAUUUGAUCUUUUUCUUUGAGAAGUGAACCAAUAACGACGAGAGCCAAGGGAAGCCCUCCUGUGGUGGCAACAAUAUUACUAGAAAGAUCUGUGAGUCCUGUGGGACAUUGUUCCCCUUCAAAUGCACACCUACUAAAUAGAAUCAAAGAGUCCUGGGGAUUCAAAACUUUGAGUUCAUACCUUUUAUAUUCAGACUUCAAGAGGGCCUUAUCUCGACAUGUAAUAAUGAUUCGACUUCCUAACCCGAAAUUACAACCUCCAAUCAAUUUAUCGAGAUGGUCUUGAUGACCCACAUCGUCAAGAAGAAUAAGUACUUUCUUAUUUUCACAACUUAAUCGAAUCAUUGCAAUCCCUAUAUCAAACUUAUGCACGCUACAGAGAGGGUUUGUUGUUAUCUCUGAGAUGAGUAGAGAUUGGACAUGCUCGACACCCUUGCAAUUAAUUUCUUCUCUAAUAUCCCGGAGAGAGCUGCGGCACUGAAACUUGUCAAAAAGCUUUUUAUAGAUGAUCGUAGCCAGAGUUGUCUUACCGAUGCCGCCCAUCCCCCAAAUCCCAAUAAUUCGAGUGUCCGGGCAAGCAAGAUCCACCAAUUGCAUAACCUCGGUCACACGAUCCUCGAUUGCAACCAAGUUUACGGGAAGAUCUGGUGGGAGAUCAUGUUGCUGCUCACACAAUAUUCUUUCUACGAGUUCAUUUACCAAUUCCCCUUCACGCCUGUCAAACAACACAACACAUGAGAACUUAUUAAUGGCCCUAUAAAACAUGGAUUAAGAUUGAUAAAUAGAAAAGUUCUUCUUCCGACAAGAAUCUGUUUAAAGAAGGUAAACGAGGUACCCAUCAGCAAAUUUCUCUGAUUCAUAUACUCUAAGAUCAACUGCCUUUCUGAGAGCUAGCGGCCCCUGUUGCUUGACCUCCUCCUCAAAUUUAUCCUUACAGGAUUCGAAGGCCUUUCCAAAGCUCCCCCCUAGGUGUCGCACAUCCUUGGGUGUCACCUUGUAAAGCACGGGCAAGACCAUUUGUCCUCUGCUUUCCUUGCACUUCAUUAUAUGGAUGAGCUCGCGGAGGCACCAUUCGCUAUCAGCAUAAUUUUCCGAGAUGACUGGGAUUGAAACCUUAGAGCGCUCAAUUGCACUGAUGAGAUUUUCACCAAUUUUCUCGCCGAAGGGGAGGUCCUCAUCAUCUCUGAACACGAAGUUUGGAUGGCACCUCAGGCCCACAGCUUUGAGUCUUUGGUAGAGGUGAUCGACGAAGCCUUUGCGAGUAUCGGGGCCUCUAAAGCUCAAGAAUACAUAGUAAUUGUUUCCAUUCACAGAGGUGGACGAAGCGGAUAGGUCAGAAUUCGCUCCGGACGCCGACGGCACAUCGAUCUUCUUCAAAGAGUCCGAAGAGGGAAGAAGAAGAGGCGAUUCGCUCUCGCGCUGCUCCGACUGUAAUUCAACCAAUGUUUCGUGUCUUUGUUUCUUCGAAAUGGUGGGACUCGAAGCAUCGGUAUCUCUAAGACGCUUGAGCUGUUGCUUUGAGGAAUGAUUUCCCAUUGCAGCUCUCUCUCUCUCUCUCUCUCUCUCUCUCGCUCUCUCUCUCUCUGAGACUCGACUGUUGUGGAUAGUUUUUGAGGUGAUGGAAGUGGAAGAAGGGGGUGACUACAGUGGUUUGCUUGUCAACCAAGAAGAUGGCUCCGUUCGGCUGCUAGGGUUUUGAGCUGGGAAUCGCAGUCGACUAUCCAUCCAUAUUUAAAGCGUCGCUCGUCAAUGAGCAAGAAGGGAAAGCAGGAGGCGAGACCCGAUUGUUCGGAUUAUUUUAUGGAUAUUUUAAUCACGCCGAAUACUUUAAACGAGGAAAAAGGGAAGCGCACUCGACUAUCCAUCCACAUUUAUUUCGGGUCGAGUCGGUUCGGAUCAGGGCAUACGACCCUAAUGUUUUGGGUUGGGUCCGAUAUCAUAACCCAACCUGAUCCAUUUACACCUCCACUUCAUAAGGAUAGAGAAAUUCACUUUGGAAGAGCCUAGAAAUCUGUACAUUGAAUUAUUUACCUGAAUUAUCAUCUUCAACCGAAACAAUUAUAAAAAAAAACUAUUAUAAAAUUAGCGUCGAAAAAUAUAUGAUCUUUUAAUGUAAAUCAAUAUGGAAUAACAAAAAUUCAAAUAAGAAAUAAUUCAUUAUAAUCGGAGGAUUAGAAUUACAAUCGUUCGUACAUACAUUUACUUAAGUAUUAAACCACAUUUAGAUUAGCUUAAGUUCAAAGUAUUUAUAAAUAAAUAACUCAAUUCUAUGUAAAAUUCAUGGUAUAAGAUUCACCAUGUUUAGAACUCCUUCGUGCACGACUAAAGGGACCGUCAUCGCAUCGUCCUCUUUCCUUCUUUGCGUUCAUCCUCUAUUGUGUGGUGUUUUUCAUUGCGCAACUCCUGGCUAAACAAACCUACGUGGGGAGAAAAUAUUAGGUGCCUCUUCUAUAGCCAACACAAUAAAAAAGAAGAGACCUGGAUUAAUGACACUUGUCCAAAGUGGGUCCCAUCUCUGCUCACAUUUACAACCUGGUAAAGAGGGAAAGCAGGAGGCGACGCAGGUUUGUUGUUUCAUACAUUUUAUGUGUUUAUAUUGGGAUCUAGAAACGCGUUCGAAUUUUGACUAAAAAAUUUGAUUGUUAAUUGACUAAAAGCAAUCCUUGUGGUCCUCAGUCCUCACUCCUCGCCCUCCACGUCUGCUUCCUACUGGUCUUGACCACCACCCCUAUUAUAAAAUAAUGAAAGAAAAGAACAUAAUAGCUAUAUUGCCACUAUAAUUAUAUUACCGUGGAUCACAAUAAGUAAUUAUUCAAGAAAUAUACUUUAUCAUCAUUAGGAUAAGAGAUUUCCGCAAUAUUGAAAGUAAUUAUACACCCCUUAAACUAAAGCCGAAAAAUAUUUAGUUCAAUUAAAGAGCAGAAACUUUCCGACUCGCAGCAUUCAGAGAUUUCAUCCACCGCUGUUCUUUAAUGGAUUUGGAGAGUAAAGGCUGUGCGUUCACCUGGACAAACAACAGAGAAGGGGAUCAGUUAGUAAAGAAGUGUCUUGACAGAGUUCUCUGCACUGCUACUUGGAGAACAACAUAUCCUACAGCUGAAAGUGUAGCACCAGCUAUAGGGUCUGAUCACAGCCCUAUUAUGGUAUCACUCGACCCACAAAGGAAAAAACGAGCACAGAGAUUCAAAUAUGAAGCAUUCUGGGCAGAGAAAGAGGAAUGUGCACAAUUAGUGAAGGAAACUUGGGCAGACCCCGGUACCCAACAAUCAAAUGUGGUGGAAAAACUACAGAUUACAGCAAGUAAGUUGAUGAAGUGGAGCAAGAAUCGAUUCUCUAAUGCUAAAAUGAGAAUUGAAUGGCUAAACAACGAACUACAAUCCUUGAUGAAUAGAACGGAAGCCCUUCAGGAGAGUGCAGUAGCGAAAAAAAAAAUCAUACAAGAAAUAAAACAAUUGUGGAGACAAGAGGAGAUGUAUUGGGGUAUGCGGUCCAGAAUUAGAUGGCUGAAAUGGGGUGACAGAAACUCCAAAUUCUUUCAUGCCAUGGUAAUACAGAGAAGGACCAGAAAUAGAAUCUCCUUGCUGAAAAAUGAAGAGGAUGUUUGGGUACGAGAUGAGCAGCAUCUACGCAAAUGACUGGGAAAUAUUUCCAAAAACUAUACAGAGGGAGUAAGAUCCAGAGAUUUCAACCUAUAUUACAGCAUAUUCCAACCUUGGUGGAUGAAAAUAUGAAUCAAGGGUUAGUUGCAGAUGUCAAUAUGGAGGAAAUAACCAACGCUAUGCAACAAUUAGGAGCUACCAAAGCUCCAGGACCAGAUGGGCUUCAUGGACUCUUCUUUCGAUGACACUGGGACAAAAAUUUGUUAGGAUAUCCUCAAAGAAACUCAGCACUUUUUUACCCCGAGAUACCUCAAUCCUGACAUGAAUAAAAUAUACAUAACUCUUAUUCCUAAAAUCCCAAACCCUGAAAAACUUGAGCACUACAGACCAAUCAGCCUAUGCAACUUUACCUAUAAAAUCAUUUCCAAGGUGAUGACAAACAGGCUCAAACCGUUGCUACCAAGCUUAAUCGCUGAAGAACAAAGUGCUUUUGUGGGGGGUAGGCAAAUCCAAGAUAAUAUAUUGAUUGUGCAGGAAGUCCUUCACAGGUUGCGAACACGGGAGAGGAAACGGAAAUUUCAAACUAUUUUGAAGCUGGAUAUGCAGAAGGCUUAUGACCGAAUUGAAUGGGAUUUCCUUAGGGCAAGCUUAAUCAAGAUGGGAUUCUGUGAGCAGUGGGUUCAAUGGGUAAUGCAGUGUGUUUCAACGGUCACAUUCAGCAUAAAUUUUAAUGGGGAAUCUCUACCCUAUUUCAAGCCUACUCGUGGGAUUAGAUAAGGUGAUCCACUUUCGCCCUAUUUGUUUACUCUAGUGGCAGAUGUGCUAUCUAACAUGAUGAAACGAGCAAUAGAUGAUGGCACAUUAUGAGGAAUCAAGCUAAACAGCAGUUGCCCUACUCUAUCACAUUUGUUAUUUGCGAAUGAUUCCAUAUUCUUUCUUCAUGGAACAAUACUGAAAUGUCAAAACCUAGCAACUAUCAUACACCAAUACUGUUUCGCAUCUGGUCAAGCUGUUAAUCUCAACAAAUCAGGUAUAUAUUUCAGCAAAAACUGCCCAACUAGUUUGAGGAGGAAUAUGGCUUUCGAACUACAAGUGCCAGAAAUUGAGAAAACCGGGAAGUACCUAGGAAUGCCAUCAGAUUGGGGGGGCUUCAAAGAAGAAUAUGUUUGCCUAGAUCCUUACAAAGGUUCACAUGAAAUUGGAAAGCUGGAAGGAAAAUUUCUUAUCGAAAACGGGGAAGGAAAUCUUAAUUAAAUCAGUGAUUCAAAUCAUCCCUCACUAUGCCAUGUCCAUAUUUCAAAUCCAUAUUUCGAUUUGCAAAGCUAUUGAGAUGAAAGUGGCAAACUUCUGAUGGAAAAAUAGUAACAGAAAUGUUGGGAUACACUGGAAAAAAUGGGAAAAUUUGAAAAUCAGGAAGGACGAGGGGGGUCUUGGCUUUAAAGAUCUAAUUGCUUUAAAUAAGGCUAUGUUGGGAAAGCAAGCAUGGCGAAUAUCACAGCACCCUAAGUCCCUAUUAAGCAGAGUAAUGAAAGGGCUGUACUACUGUCACGCCCCGAUCCUCCGAGCGCGCGAACAUCCCACUCUGGUCGAUACAAAUGCGAUUUCCCAGGAUAUGUCGCCGACCCAUUCAUUUAUUUAUUGCACAUGCGGAAGUGAAACAAAUCCCCUGACAACAUUUAACUUGGGAUAGAAAAGCAGGCAAUCAAUCACAACCAAACAAGCUUUCUAUAAACACAUAUGUUUAUAUACAACACUUGAUUGUCUACAAAAUAGAUAGGCUCAACAACUAGGGAACUGUCCUGUGACCAACUUGUCAGACACGUUCGCCGAUUCUUCAGCCUCCACCUUCCGAACUCCAGGACUUCCGGUCCUCCACAACCGUCAUCUAGGAACCUGAAAUAUUAUCCCACAACCGGGAUGAGACUACGUCUCAGCGAGUCCUACCCUCUAAAACUCAAUUAGGAAGAAAAUACGUCUUAGGGCGCUCUAGCCACACAAAUAGGAUAAAGGACUUACCUCGCCUCAGUUCCUUCCUACACAUCAGUUUAAUCAAUAAAUAUUGACAACCACAUCAUCAAACAAUUCAAUUACUCGGAUCGAUUCAGCGAUCAAUCGACUUAGUCGAUUACAUGUCAUCGAAAUCAUCACACGAUCAUUCUGACUAUUCAUUCUCAACUCUCAAUCAUGGCCUUACAGGCAAGUCUAUAUGUAGUGGCAUCACGGCCCCACUCGGCAAUGUUAUAUGUAGUGGCAUCACAGCCCCACUCAGCAAUAUUUUAUGUAGUGGUAUCACGGCCCCAUUCGGCAAUGUUAUAUGUAGUGGUAUCACGGCUCCACUCGGCAUAAUUUAGAUUUAGUGGCUUUCUAGGUUCAACUCACAACCUCUCACAGUCAUUUUCCCAUCAAAAACCAACAUUAAUCAACUUUGGGAUAAAUCCCCACAUAAACAUCCAUUCAAUCAAUCGAUAUAAACUUGACCUACCAACCAAUUAUGGUGCCCAAAGCCGACACUGGGUAUUUUCAAGUUAAAUACCAAAACUUCAUCAAUAUCACUCAAUUCCACACUUUUGAAAUAAUUAACCAUAACCAUCAAUCACUCAAUUUCUCAAUUUAAGCUUACAAUUAAUACAAAUCGACCGCACUGCUGCGAUCAGUGCGAAAUUCUAAUGACCGGCCAUCCUGGCAAAAUUUUCGAAAUUAUUAAAUAAUUAAAUUUAAUUCCGAAAAUUAAAUAAAUAAAUAUUAUAUUAUAAUAAUAUAAUUUAAUAAAAUAAUAUUUAUAAAUUCGAAAUAAUUAAUUAAAAAUAAUUAAUUAUGGCUUAAACAAGAUUACACUAAUUUAAUCAUACAAUUAGCCCUAAUUAAACAUCCAUUAAGCUAAUCAUACAACUAAUCUAAUUUACAUUAAAAUAAUCUAAUUUAAUCUCAUAAACCUAAUUAGACUAAUCUAAACACUCCUUAAGCGUCAUUAACUCACUAAACAAGAAUUAGAGGAUAAACUCACCGGUUUUGUGUGCCGGUGAAUUCACGGCGACCACGACGCCAAGGCGGUCGAUAAACCCCAAAGCGGCGACAACAACGGAGGCCGAGAAGACAUUGAAAACGGGCCUCGAAGUCUAGAACUUCUUGUUGUCUUCUGCUUCUGAUCUGGGCUGAACUGCAGAGACGAAACCAACAACUUCAACAGCGAAGACGGGCCGAUUGGAGCUCCGGCAAGCAGGUGGUUGGCAACCGAUGGCUCCCGGGGGUCAAGGGGAUUGGGAUGGGCAAAGGAAGGGUCGGAAAUGGGCGAAACAGCAAGAAAACGUGAAACAGGUGAAACCAAGCGAGUCCAAACGGUCCGGCGAGUAGCAGCUUCUCUCAGGAUUUCGGGACGGCCAGAGAAUUGUUCCGGCAAGCGGUGAGAUGCUCCGGAAUGGUCUGGAUGUCGUCUUCGCGGCGAUGGGUGGCUUGUUCGCUGAUUCAACUGAGAAGUUAACUUUUUAUUCGGAUUUUUGGAGAAAGGUCGGCUGGAGCAGAAACUGGAACGAGGGGAAAACAAGGGAGGAAAACGGCCGACGAUGGCCUUCCGGGCGUGCGACAAUGGAGGGGCUAGUGAGCUCGGUUUCCUCUGGUUCUCUUGAGCCUUUCCUAAGCCUCAACCAUGGAGAAAGCCAUGAAUGAAGGAAGAAUAUGGUCUACUGAAAAGGAGGCCUCCUUGGUGGCUCACUAGAGCUCAACACUUGUCUAAACCUCAUUUGCUUUGCCCCUACCAUGACAUCACAUGACAUCAUCCACUAUCUCUCCUCAAUCUCCCUCCACAACCUUGCCAAUAGGUGCAAAAUAGCUCUCCCCCCAUGGUAUACGAAUUUCAUACAUUUGUACAUCAAAUUCAAUCAAUUCUCACUCAAUUCCAUCCAAUUGAAGCUCAAUUAAAUCAAUCCAUGUGUCCUCGGCCUUCUCAUGAAAUUUCCCCGUCAAAUGAUCCAACUUGCAUCCCGAAGAUUCGAUUAAAAACGGCCAUUUGACAAUCCCGAACAAAAACGGCAUUACUUUGUUUUUUCGCCAAAAAUCUCGGUUUGUAGAAAAAUCUUCUGGAGAUGAGUCGACAUUCCUAAAAUGAAUUUUGACUUGACAGAACUUCCAAUUUCUGUAAUCGGGUUCAAUUUCACGGUUAAAUUCAAUCUGGCGCAACUUUAGCGCGUCCUAAUCUACCGGGUAGCUUUUAGGAAUUUUCUGUGUAAUUGACCUGUGGUUGAUUAUUUUCAAGCCACAAAGUGCAUAUUCGACAUAUUGGCGACUCUCGAUUUUCGUAGAAAUCUCGAUGUUUCAAAAAUGGACACAAGAUACCAAAACGAUAGAGAAAUCGGUCUAAUGCCGAUCAACAAGAAUUGUGCAAUUAGGUGGAAUCACCCACACUAAAUUACAUGGUUCUGUUGAAUCGACCUAUCUCCGAUCUCUAAUCGGUUUGUGCCGUAAUGACCCUUGCAGAUUAGUAUGGUCGAGCAGUUGUUUCUUGGUCGAAUUUUCAAGUCUAUUGCGUUUAGAUUCCUUAACGGCUUCACCUGAUAGACUAGUUAUUUCGUUAGUGGCCAACUCAGAGAAGAGAGCUAUAGACGCGAAGAUGAAAUGCCCGACUUAUUCAAUUGAAACUAGAAUCGGAAAAUCGGGAUGUCACAACUACCCACAAAGUGAUUUAUGGAAGGCUGGCAAAGGAUCAAGAUCUUCAUGGGGAUGGCAGAGUAUAUUAAUGGGAAGAGACUCCAUAUCUCCACAUCUCAUGUUCUCAGUUGGGAAUGGCAAAGAAAUAUCAAUCAGAGAGGACAAAUGGCUAAAAAGCGGACAGAUUGGUGGCUCGGCAAAGAGUGGAGAACCAAGUCAGGUGGCUGGUCUUAUUGAUCAAGCGACUGGAAACUGGAAUGAACCAUUGAUAAAGUCCUUAUUUGAUGAACAAAGAGCCCAAGGAAUAUUAGCUACACCUAUCGGAUUGCCUACGGAAGAGGAUAGACUGGUUUGGGUGAAGAACAAAACAGGGGCAUUCACAGUAAAAGGGGGAUACUACACCAACAGAGACAGCACACCAAGCAAGCAAGCAACAGCAGAUUCGUCACAUCAAGCAGCAGCAACAACUUCCUCUUAUUAGCCAAAACCAGCAUUAUGGAAGUUUAUAUGGCAAUCGGAAUCUCUACCCAAAGUCAAACACUUCCUCUGGAACGCUUGCCAGAAUGCUAUACCCACUAUGGAAAACCUACAUAAGCAUAAAAUAAUACCUGAUUCGCUCUACCCUCUUUGCAAACAAGAAGCCAAAACUGUUGAACACACCCUGCUGCUAUGCUCCUGGACGGCUCGGAUUUGGAAAGCUACACCCCUGCAAAUCAGAGUAUCAAGGAUAGGGUUAACCCGAUUCGACGAAUGGUUGUACACAGCAAAAACCAAUCCAACCAGUGCAAGAAAGUUCGACCUAAUCGCAGUUACCCUCUGGAGUAUCUGGAAAGACCGAAACUAGUUUAUCUUCAGUCAUCGCCCUCUGCACCCAGAGCAAACAUUAUUUAAGGCCACUGCUUUGCACGAGAAUUAUACCACUUGGAACCAAAAAAUGAAAAAGGAGCAACACAAAGCGACCCAACCUCAAAGAUGGCAGCCCCCGCCACCAGAUUCGUUGAAAAUCAGCAUAGAUGCUUCCUUCCUCCCAAGCAGCGACGCCGAAUCAGAAAAUAGGGCAAACAAGGGAGAAAGCGAAAACAGAGUAGCAAUUGCCUGCAUUUAUCGCGACACAAGGGGACGGGUUGUCAAUGGCUUUGUGAAACCGGUGGCUGCGUCCUCAGCAAAGCAAGCGGAAGCAAUCGCCCUCCUCGAUAGGGGUGUGCAUGGUCCGAGCGGGCAGUUCCCGACCUAGAACCGGAAACCCCCCGCUAAGGACCGGUUCCAAAAAAUUGGAACCGGGAUCCACCCGUUUGUUGCAUGGAUCCAUCCGGGAACUGGACCGCCGGUCCGGUCCGGUUCUCAGGUGGAUCCAUGGAACCGAUCUUGACGCAAAAAAUUUUAGUUUUCAAUGUAAAACGGUCGUGAAACAAUUUUGGUUUCCCGGACCACCGGUCCGAUCCGGUUCCCAAGUUUUGAGCUCUAAAAUUCCAAGUUCCAAUCUCCAAAAACUAAAACAAUAAUUAAUAGACGAAUACUCAACAUUAAAUAACAGUCAACUACACGUGAAUGAGGAAGAGGAGGAGGAGCGACGGCAGCGGCAGCGUGGAUGCUUGGCGAGGAAUUGAAGACAAAGAGAAGAGACUAAGGAAGAAACAAAGAGAGAAUCGAAGACUGAGGAAGAAACUGGAAGAGAUGAGACGCGAAUUAGGGCUUCGCGAAUUAGGGCUUCGUAACUUUCAUUUAGUAUUUUCUUUUUUAUUAUAAAUAGGUACCGGUCUGGUCCGGGUGGGUGGGCGGGCGGUUCCGCCCAUGGAACCGGGAACCGGACCGGUUCCCACCGGUUCUCAACAAUUGGAACCGGGAACUGGACCGGUUCCCUCAAGAACCGUCGGUUCCGGGCAGUUCCGGUCUGGUUCCGGGCGGUCCGGGCGGUUCCCAGGUAUUUUGCACACNNNNNNNNNNNNNNNNNNNNNNNNNNNNNNNNNNNNNNNNNNNNNNNNNNNNNNNNNNNNNNNNNNNNNNNNNNNNNNNNNNNNNNNNNNNNNNNNNNNNNNNNNNNNNNNNNNNNNNNNNNNNNNNNNNNNNNNNNNNNNNNNNNNNNNNNNNNNNNNNNNNNNNNNNNNNNNNNNNNNNNNNNNNNNNNNNNNNNNNNNNNNNNNNNNNNNNNNNNNNNNNNNNNNNNNNNNNNNNNNNNNNNNNNNNNNNNNNNNNNNNNNNNNNNNNNNNNNNNNNNNNNNNNNNNNNNNNNNNNNNNNNNNNNNNNNNNNNNNNNNNNNNNNNNNNNNNNNNNNNNNNNNNNNNNNNNNNNNNNNNNNNNNNNNNNNNNNNNNNNNNNNNNNNNNNNNNNNNNNNNNNNNNNNNNNNNNNNNNNNNNNNNNNNNNNNNNNNNNNNNNNNNNNNNNNNNNNNNNNNNNNNNNNNNNNNNNNNNNNNNNNNNNNNNNNNNNNNNNNNNNNNNNNNNNNNNNNNNNNNNNNNNNNNNNNNNNNNNNNNNNNNNNNNNNNNNNNNNNNNNNNNNNNNNNNNNNNNNNNNNNNNNNNNNNNNNNNNNNNNNNNNNNNNNNNNNNNNNNNNNNNNNNNNNNNNNNNNNNNNNNNNNNNNNNNNNNNNNNNNNNNNNNNNNNNNNNNNNNNNNNNNNNNNNNNNNNNNNNNNNNNNNNNNNNNNNNNNNNNNNNNNNNNNNNNNNNNNNNNNNNNNNNNNNNNNNNNNNNNNNNNNNNNNNNNNNNNNNNNNNNNNNNNNNNNNNNNNNNNNNNNNNNNNNNNNNNNNNNNNNNNNNNNNNNNNNNNNNNNNNNNNNNNNNNNNNNNNNNNNNNNNNNNNNNNNNNNNNNNNNNNNNNNNNNNNNNNNNNNNNNNNNNNNNNNNNNNNNNNNNNNNNNNNNNNNNNNNNNNNNNNNNNNNNNNNNNNNNNNNNNNNNNNNNNNNNNNNNNNNNNNNNNNNNNNNNNNNNNNNNNNNNNNNNNNNNNNNNNNNNNNNNNNNNNNNNNNNNNNNNNNNNNNNNNNNNNNNNNNNNNNNNNNNNNNNNNNNNNNNNNNNNNNNNNNNNNNNNNNNNNNNNNNNNNNNNNNNNNNNNNNNNNNNNNNNNNNNNNNNNNNNNNNNNNNNNNNNNNNNNNNNNNNNNNNNNNNNNNNNNNNNNNNNNNNNNNNNNNNNNNNNNNNNNNNNNNNNNNNNNNNNNNNNNNNNNNNNNNNNNNNNNNNNNNNNNNNNNNNNNNNNNNNNNNNNNNNNNNNNNNNNNNNNNNNNNNNNNNNNNNNNNNNNNNNNNNNNNNNNNNNNNNNNNNNNNNNNNNNNNNNNNNNNNNNNNNNNNNNNNNNNNNNNNNNNNNNNNNNNNNNNNNNNNNNNNNNNNNNNNNNNNNNNNNNNNNNNNNNNNNNNNNNNNNNNNNNNNNNNNNNNNNNNNNNNNNNNNNNNNNNNNNNNNNNNNNNNNNNNNNNNNNNNNNAGGGUUGGGUUACAUGUAUCUAAUAAGAUAGAUCCACCGUAUUAGAUCUAUAUAUGAAACAUAUUUCAUUUUAUAAGCUUAAUUCAUAGCUCUAAGAAAUUAUGCUCUCUCUCUCUCUCUCUCUCUCUCUCUCUCUCUCUCUCUCUCUCUCUCUCUCUCUCUCUCUCUCUCUGCAAGCACAUCAACAAAUUUGCUUUUAAUUAACUUAUGAACUUUGGCAAAUGACAAAAGAUAAUAAAUAUAACUAUCGGACACUCAUGUUCUUACUUAUUUUUCUUUGAUUUUUGGUCCAAAUGACGUUAGCACUAUUGGUUUUGAGAUGACAACCACCCUCACAUUACUAGAAAGCAUUUGUCAAAUUUUUUUCUCAAGUGGCCCUACCACUCUUCUUUUUGAGUCUCAAAGGCCAUCAUGACCCUCUUUCUUUUCAUUUGUCCAUGUCAAGCACACUGGUUACCAGUUCAAAAGAAAAAGGAAAGAGCUUGAGACUGUGUUUGGUAACGUUUCUGUUUCCGUGAACAGUUUCUGUUUUUAAACGUUUUUUUUUCAAUUUAUGUUCUCGAGAAUAGUUACUGAGUAUUUUAAAGCAUUUGAUAACUAUAUAAAAUUUCUAUUUCCAAAAUAGAAACAUGUUUGGUAUGAUCCCAAAUAUUUUUGUGAUCGGCUAGGAGAAGAAGAAAGGAAAAGAAAAAGAAAGAAAAGAAAGGGAUGAAAGGAAGAGAAAAGAAAAGCUUGUUUCUUGAGUUGUUUCUAGGAAUAAGAAACAAUUUUUUUUUUUUGUUUCUGUUUCAAAUCUAUUUUCGAGAACAAAAAAAUUAUCAAACACGUUUCUAUUCCAUUUCUAUUCCAGGAAACAAAAAAACAUAAAUACUUAUUCCCAAGAGUGUUAUCAAAUGCUCCCUAAAGCAUUGACACAAUCAAUACGUUCCCAGGAACGUACUUUUGUGAAGCUGGGCAUCAUUAGAUUGACAAAUCAAUGUCUAUUGUAAGCUGAAUAGUAAGGAACUUUUUGGAAGAAUGUAGCUCUUGAAGUUGCACGUGAAGUUAAAGUUAAGGUUCCUAGAAUCCCCGCAUCCCAGACCUCGUCCCUCGCAUCGAGCCUCAAGUAGACCUGUUCCCUCGGCAAUGGGCCACACCCCAUCUGGAGAGAGAACGACAGCCGGCUUCAACUCCUCGCAGACCAGAUCUGCUCCUUUUGGUCUUCAGCAGCCAAGAUCAAGACCUCGGGCUGCUAUUGCUUGUGUCUGCAGAGAUUCUUUUGGGAUGAUUCGAGAUGGCUUUGCAAAACAUAUUGAGGUAAGCUCGGCUGAGCAAGCCGAAGCCGUCGCUUUGGUUGAAACCCUAGAUUUUAUCUCUUCAACCCUAAUCCCAAAGUCCCCAGAAAAAGAAUUGAUUAUUUUAUCUGACUGUCGGUUGCUAGUGGACAGUGUACUGUCGUCCUCUAUUUUAAAUUGGUUAGUGGAUCCCCUUGUGGACCAGGCCAAGCACAAAUUGAAGACUAUUUCGGGUCUCUCUUUAGCUCACUGUAGUAGGAAUUCUAAUCGGGUUGCUAACUGGGUAGCAAAAGCUCGUCGUUUUGAUUUCCUUCCUAUCAACUGGGUGUCUAGUCCCCCCUCUGCUCUUUUGGAUCUUCUAUGUACUGAUGCUCUUGAUGUAUUAUCUUCGCCUAGUAUCUAAUAAUAUCAGCUUUGUUUCUCGUCAAAAAAAAAAAAAAAGUUAAGGUUCCUAAAGUUAAGGAUUUUGUCUUUUAAAAUUUGUGGGAAUCAGUGAAUUUUUUGUUCAGGAAUUUUGGCUACACAUUUUCCUCAUGGAGCUAUGAGUGGAGCAGUGACAAUCUCCAAUUCAGCAGUAGAUUGGAGCCUAUAAAUAAGGCAUUAAAAAGCGUUAGAAUGCAAAGCUUCACAAGUAGAAAGAACAGAGAGUUGGCUCGUCCGUCCGUGAGGGAAAGAAAUGUUCUUAUUUCUUUACUUCAACUUGUGGCCCGUAUGUUCCAAUUAAUAUUGGUUUUUGCAACUUUUUGAUGAUCAACGGUUUUACUACAAUGACCCUGCUGAUUGAUUACAAAUAUAGAUAUCAUCCAUAAUUAAUUUAAGUUUGCAUAUGGGUAUUUCUAUAAAUUGAACGCCGAUAAAAAAAUAUGAUUGUAGGAAAUUCUUUCCAACUUAGUACGGAGGAAAAAUAACGUCACCUAACAAUGAGGAAAAUCACUUCAAAUUAUAUAUAUUAUGAUGAUACUCUUAGUCUUUGUGCAUUUAGAAGAAGAAUAUGAAAUCUCAUUCUUACAUUUUUAGGGAAAGUUUCAUUUUACCCUUCAUAACUUUGAAGUUGGUGCAUGUCAGAUCUCAAACUUCAAAAAGUUGCAUCGCCCUUCUGCCUAAUCUGAACUUAUAUUUUGUUACAUUCAUUAACACCUCUAAACUUUUUCAUUAACAUGUACUAUGCACAUGUUUUUAAGUGAUAAUAAGUUGCAUAUCUAAACUCCUUUGCUGGAUGAUGUGCACCCUCUAUUUAAAGAUAGAUUCUUAAGAUGGCGAGUAUCAAUUGUCUAAUUUUUGAUGGAUUACUCUUAUGAUGAGAUGUUAUUUUGUUGCAUCUGUAUUACCAUAAAAGUAUUCAACUCUGUGAAUAGAAAUAGGGUUCCAGAGAAAUCAGCGAAAUUUGCUAUGAAAUUGACAUGAUCGGUGAGUUUCAAGAUGGGCAUUAAAGUUGGCAGAGCAAUUUCUAGGCUCUAAAAGUUCAGAAUUGGUAAGUACGGAGUGGUUGUGCUACUAAUCCUAUGCCCAUCAUCUAUACCUCGUAUCUUCUACAGGAUAUCUUUUAGAGUUGUCGUAGAUUCAAAAUAUAUUAAUUAGAUAAUCAUUAACUACUUGAUUAUUCAUGAAUUUAUCUUUUACAUCUAGAUUUUUAUGUUUAAAUUCAUAAAAACCAUUAUUUGUUAGCAAUCUCUAGCUCCAAUUCAACCCGCUCCUCUCUCUUCCUCCCUCCCUCCAACAAAGCUCUCCCUUUUUCAUACUAACAGAUAUGCCAUUUUAGAAGGCAACAUUUCAUUUCUUUACGUUCUAAUUUUGCAAUAUGUUUUUUUUUUUUUUGGUAAUGCUAGAAAAGUAACAUUUAACGAUAAGAUCAAAAGGGCAAAGGCCAAAGGGCAAGAAUCAAAAGUCAAAGUCACACCAAACAUGCAUUUUACAAAUUUAUCUUCGUGCUAAGUUAAACUAGUACAUUGGUGGCUUUUAUAGCAUUGUAGAAAUCAUAUUUACAAAAUGAAGAGUACAUCUCCUUUCGGAUGCGCUCCUUUCCAUUUCCCCCCUUUUCUCCUUCCCUUGGCAUCUUUCAUUCCAUUGGCAUCUUUCAUCAAGUGGCCAUUCCAAUUGCUGUCCCCCACGUGUUGACAUUCGCAAUUAUACACCCGUUACUCGGUAGACUCAGCAAUUUGAAGUUCAAGAUGCUCAUCGAUCAAGAGGGACAAGACAGACAAUUACUAAAUAAAAAAAAGACUGCAUGAAGUCGCCUUGCGAUGAGGCUGGACUGGUGCAGUGACAAUCCUGUCGGACCCAUACGACUCCACAGAUACUUUAUCCAUAUCACUAUCACCUACUCUUCUAAAAACUAAAAACGUAAUUUAUCAUUUAAAUAUUUCAAUAUCCUCUCUCACCCUUAGUCUAGUCUUUUGCUUAGUAUUAAUUAUGGAAAUUUAAUUGGGGAGGCAAUGGGGCCUGGGAAGAUUUGAACUCAUGACCUCUAGUUUUAAUACAAUAUGAAAUUUUAUGAGACUACUGAACUAUUCUAAAAGUUUAAGCUAUUAAAUGAAAACAUAAUUUAUUAUUUAAAUAUUCCAACGAAAACCCCUUAAAUAAACAUAAAAAACUUAUGAUGACGACAUAUACAUAGUCAAGUGUAUAUGUCUAGACUAAGGGCCUAUUUGGUAAUCGUCUAAACAGGCCUUGAUUUUGAUUUUUUGUUCCCGAGAGUAUUUUUGUAACAGAAUCGUGUUUGGUACAUUUUUUUUUUUUAUGACCCGGGAACCGCCGUACAGCCGGCAACUGGCGACGUAAACCUGGGGGGGCACUAGUGCAGGGACCCACCUCCCACAGCACCCCAGUUAAGUUGCGCAAUGGGGGCGAGAAGUUUCGAACCUCUAUCCUUCUGGGAUGAGGGGUCAAAGCACGAACUAACUCAUCCACCGCAGGGUGGGUUUGGUAAAAUUUUUGUUCCCGGGAACAAAUUUAUAUUUUUUUGUUCUAAGAAGUAGAUUUGGAACACAAUCAAGAAUAAAAAAAAGUUGAUUCCUGUUCUCGGGAACAAAUCUAAGAAUCAAGCCAUUUUCUUCUUCUAAUUCUUCUCUUUUCUUUUCUUCUUCUUCCCUUUUCUUCUUCUUCAUCUACCGCCACCGUCGCGAUUGCCAUCCAUCGCCGUCCGCCAUUCGCCGCCCACCACUGCCGGUCGCCGGCAAUCGGUCUAGCGAGCUCGCCGAAGGCACGCCCAACCACCGGCGAGGCUCGCCCAGCCCCGCUGGUGGCCAAGUAGGCCUCGCCUAGCCCCGGCAAGGCUCAUCCAGCCUCGCCGGUGGACAGGCGGUCCUCACCCAGCCCCGGUGAGGCCCACAUGGCCACCGGCGAGGUCGAGCCUCAGCAGGGUUUGGCGCACCUUGCAAUCUAGUGAGGCCGAGCCUCGCCGGUGGCUAGGCGCGACAAGGGCCGGCCUCGCCAAGGGCUGGCGAUGCUCCGAUGAGGUCGUCGGCCCUCGUCUAACUGGUCAUUGGUCGUCCCAAGGCCAUCGACUGGCCACCUUGAAGAAGAAGAAGAAGAAGAAGAAGAAGAAGAAGAAGGGGAGGAAGAAAGGAAAAAAUUAGUAAAAUUAUUUAAAAAAUAAAAAAAUGAUUUGAAGUAUGAAUUGAAAUUUUGCUAUUUAUAGAAUACAUAUUUAAUUUUGUAUUUUAAUUUAUUAUUUAGUAUUUAUAUUUAUAGUUUAUACUAUAGUUUAUUAUUUACUAUUUAAGAAAAAAUUGAUUAGUUAAUAUGUGGGGGGGCUUAGUAUAAAUAUAAUUAAUCAAUAGAAUUUCUAUAAUUUGAUAGAAUUUUAGAAUAUGAAUAGAAAUUUUUUGUAGUUAACAAACGCAUUUCUGUUCUUUCUUUAUUUCAAAAUCAUAAAUUUUAUACAGUUACCAAACGCGUUCUUUUGCUUAGAAAUUAUUUUCGGGAACAUAAUAAAAAAAAAUAAUUUUUUAUCAGAAUCUGUUCCCGGGAAUAUAAUCGUUACCAAAUGCACCAUAAAUGUCCAUACACUGAAUGAAUGAUACAUGUUGAGUAGUGUUAUUUGAUAUAGCGAUCAUAUAAAUAAUUGAGCUCUCAUUUGAUUAUAUCUUGAGUUUCUUGCAAUUUCUACUUUUGGGUGGGGGGGGGGGGGGGGGGUUUGUGGGGAAGUAGAGUGGAUUCCUUCUCAACUAUUAUGGAUAAUUUUGAGCAUGAAAUGACUACUCGACUAUUUCUGCACCACAUUUAGAGCGUCGUUAGUGAAGACGAAGAAGGGAAUGGUGGAGGCAAAGCAGGAAACUACGAUAUAGAGCUUGACUAAUAAUUCAAAAAAUCCCUCAAAGCAGGAAAUUACGACAUAUAUUUCAUAUAUUUAGGUUUGGAAUUUACAGAUGACUUCAAAUUUUGACGAAAUUUUUUAUUGUUAAUUGACUAAAAGCAAUUCCCGAGACGUUGCCUCCUCACGGUCCUCGAAAUAAGCUCCCUAUUGGACCUCACAACGAGCCCACUAUUCCUCUACGCGAGUCACCAUUUUUUAUUGAGAAGUAAUUACAAUGAACAAACAUCAUUGAAUGUAAUUAGAAAAAUAAACUGAUUAAUUGACCUAGACUUAGCAAAGUGCGGAGUCGUUGCCGCCUUGGCAUUAUUAUUCGGCGAAUGAUCUUUCCAUUCUCUGGCAUUAAGCGGGCAAUUCCUUUUCGCUUCUAGUCGUCUUCCUCUGCGCGUGCUUAGUCCUUGCCUUCUAGGCAUUAUAUGGGGAAUGGGAGUCAACAGAUGUGAACUGAUUUUGUUAUUUAGUUAGCCCGCGCUGUAGAUGGGAGUAUCGUCUAUCGUUUAUAUUGUAUUAAUCUUUUCUGGCCACAACAUUAAUAUUAUAUCCAAAAGCAAGGAAAACAAGAAUGAAAAGGAAGUAUUACCUAUAUUGCUUACCAUUAUCCAGGCCUGUGGACACGUGCUCCGCAUAGGAAAACGCACUUGUGAAAUAGGUGACAUGAAAUAACAAUUCUAGGAGUCUUGAUCAUCACCAGAGUAAGAGAUUUUUCCUAAUAUUGGAAGUGAUUACAUGCCUCUUGAAAUAAAAGAGAGAGAUUUCAUUUAAAUUAAGGUUGAAAAGUAAAUUUUUUCCAAAAUAAAGUUAAGAUAAAUAUCACUUAAAGGAAAAUUCUCCCGAGAAGGCAGGAGACGUGGUCUACGCCGACUGUUAGAGUCCAGAGGAACCCGAUUGCCCCAAUCGAUUCACUCUGGUAACUAUGUUGCUCCCUCGACCCUGCAGCUCUUGUUCAUGUGAUUCUCGAUUGGAAAAUGCUUUAUUUUGGCGAUGUUCAUUCUGCUCCCGCUCUCCAUCGCAAAUUUCAGCACCUGAAUCUGCUCCACUUCCUCCGCUGACGAACGCAACAAGUUUAGGGCUUAAAGAAGAAAAUAAAUUUAGCCCCAGUUCGUUCAUUGGCGGGAAAAUAACACACAUAGGCAACAUAGUUCAAUAUUACUGUUGCCAACUUCACUUUAUUGGCGAGCUGCGUAACAGUUUAUUUUAAAAUAAUGCAACGUCGGAUUUUCUAGUUACACAAAUCAUCGAUCACACUAAAUUGAUACAUUUUUCACAUAAAUGGUCCUUAAUUUAAGACAAUCAUUGUAUUCUUUUUCCUAUUCGCAAUCAAAGGCAUCAAGCAUCCCCAGCUUCUUCAAAGGAUUUUUUUUUUCCUUUUCUUUUUCUUUUUGCUUUUAUUCCAUAAUCAGUCAAUCUAUAAACAGGUAAGGAGACGCGUCACGUAAUUUCGUAGACUCGGAUUGUCUUUUGCGGGCUCCUUGUUUUUUCCUAGGAAUUUCCUCGUUAGUUUUUUUUUUUUUAAAUAUUCUUUUUAGGACUUUUUAUGGUUUUCUCUGACAUUGAUAAGGGAAGAUGCAAGUCCUCCUUAGUGCGUUCCGAGUCGCUCGAUAUAUGCACUAUGUAUGUUGGCGACAAUGACAUCCUAUCCACCUGAUUUUCGGUUGGCCUUAUCGACAUUUUCGUGAAGAAUCCAUCUGCUUGAGUUUUAAAAAUAAAAGAAAAACUUUUAACAGAAAAAGAAAACGAAAAAGGGAAGAUGCAUAUGCAAAUUCUAUUGAUUGAUGACCUUCGGUGGAGCAAGCAACAGAAUUAGAUAUCAUAAACAGAAUUGAUCUAGCUGUUCAGAAGUAAGCGCGUGCUGAUAAUUGGCUAAUGUGAUGCCGAUAAUGCUGGUGAUUACGACAUGCGUAAGAUCGACGACGGGCUAUAUGUUUAGCCUCGGUUCAAGAGUCAUCUCUUGGUGCGUCAGAAGAUAGCUGAUUGUGUUGUUGUCGACGACUGAAGCCGAGCAUCGAGCUGCAUCCGCGGCAGCUCAAAAGCACACAUGGUUAGUGCAAUUGCUAAAGGAUAUGCCCUAGAAAAUUGAUGAAUGCCUCGUGAGACUGUACAGUGACAAUCAAUUGGCGAUUUCACCGGUAGAGAACCGAGUGAUUCAUGUGAGAAUGAAGUACGCGGAAGUCCACCGUCACUUUGCGCGUAAGAAAUUAUUCCUUGGAGAGAGGAAGAAGUUCACCAAGACAAAUUAACAAGUCAAUGAUAAUUUCAAGAAGGGACAUAUUGACAUCCAAGUUGGUGGAAUUUCAAAAAUAGUUGGGCAUCACAAACGAGCAGCAUUAGAGAUCAAAGUUGGAUACUCGCACUGGUAUCACCUGGCUUGCAAUAGUACUGAAUUGACAUAGUGGGAGGCAUGACAUGAAGUUUUCUUUGGCCAAAAUAGAGAGCAGAGAAAUGACAAUAUCAAAAUAGAGAGCAGAAAUAUCAGUUUCACAGAUUUUUGAAACAGGAUGUGUAUAUAUUUACAAUUUCAAAGCGUCAUUCUCCAUUAGUUGAGCCAUUUCUAGAAAGUCUCAGUUACUCCAAUAUAAGAGUGUCUGGAUCCCGAAGCAGUUUGCUAGAAGUGGUGUGCUCUGCCAAUCUCUGUCUUCCUCUGAAAAUAACUGUUAGCGGAAAAAGGAGUCCUUCCAAGGUCCCUAGGCGACGAAAAUGGCACGGGUUUCGGUGAGCAUGUCAGCCGUUCAACUAAGAGAGGAAGCUGUGCACUUUCAAAUGCAUUCUAUAAGUUACUCGCUCAGGUGGUCCAGGUAGGAACAUUGUAGGAAAAUUACAAUCCUUCAUUAAAGAUUAAGUUCCUCGAAAGUCUCAGAUACCUAAAAAAAAUUAUCAUUCAUAAAAAGUUACUAAUGAUGGGAACCUCGAUAUCACUUGCAUUCGUAGAGAAGUACGAUCUCAUUCUCAUAUACAAAUGUUAUGUAUUAGAUCUAGAUAGAUCCCUUGUUAAUAUGAGCACAAUGAGGAAAAUCAUGCUUUCAUUGGUAAAAUUACUAACCACAAGUAUCCCAAAGGUACGAGCAUGUGAGGAAAAUCACCAUCUCGUAGUUUCCUCAGCCAAGAAAUUGUAAAUGUGCUUUAUUUAAUUGAUAAUUAUACAAGGUUAUGUCUUCCAAGGGGUAAAAUUGAAAUGAAUCUUUUAUGCAUGUCUUCCAAUCUUUUAUGUAUGUCAUUCACACACAAAAUCUUGUGUGCUAGUAUUUUAAUGUAGUCGGAAAAGAAGGAAAUGAAUUUUCCCUGUUGGUUUAGACAAAGACAAAAUUAGGUGGGUUUCACGCACUAUAUUCAAAAUUAAUGCAACUUGAAAUUUUAUACUUAGUUCAUAUCAUACUUUAAUCAUAGCGAUAUCAACUUGAUUUUAAUCAAUUUUUUAUCCAGCCAAAGUUGCAUCAAAUUGACUUCCAUUAAUAUUUUAUCAAGCUAAAUUUGCAAGUUUCAUCAAAUUGACAAAUCAAAUUUUUUAUUCCAAAGAGUAGGUACUGAAGUUACGUAUGACCGACUGAAGACUUUGUUUAAUGUUUUCUUUUGGGCUAACUUCCAAGAGUAAGUCCUUAUCUUAUAUUUUAAUCGCGAUGAUGAAGAAAAAUUGCAGAGUUGGCACGCAAAGGACUUCCUAGCGACAUCAAACUAACGUCCAUCAAUUUUAUAUCCUAAAGAGUAGGUACUGAAGUUUUGUAUGACCAUGACCAAUUGGAGUAUUUCUUUAAUGUUUUCUUUUGGCUUACUUCCAUGAGUAGGUUUUAUCUCGUAUAUUAAUCACGACGACGAAGAAAAAUUACAGAGUUGGCACGAAAAGGACUUCCCGGCGACAUCAAAUUGACGUCCAUCAAUUUUAUAUCCUAAUGAGUAGGUACUGAAUUUAUGUAUGACCAAGACUAAUUGAAGUCUUUCUUUAAUGUUUUCUUUUGGGCUAACUUCCAAGUGACGUUCGGUGACCAUUAAAUAAUUACCAAGUAGAAGAAUGGCAUCUUUCAAGGAUUUCGCAUCGUUGUUAUUUGUGUUUCCGUUGACUGAUUCGAUCGAUCCCAUUUAUUCAAAGAAACCCGGGCUAGCACCCAGCAGGGUUCAUUUCCUUUUUGACAUCUCUCUUCCUCCCGCAAAUCUCACUUUAAAAUCUUCAAUUUAACAGGGCUCUUUUCUCUCGCAAAAUUGUAUCUCUAACUGAUAUGUGGAAUAUAUAAUAUCGCCCUGAUUAACCGUUGAAGUAUCAUCUCAAUAUAAUUAACUGAGGAAGAAUGAAGAUGCCAUUAUGUCUACUCAGUAAUCUAUUGAGUUAGGAAAUUCGGCAUUUAGUCAAAACAAUAGUAAAAAUGGAAGUGUUCAGCUUGAAGGGGGAAAAGAUAAAGAGAUAAUUGAUCUUUGUGAUGCGGAUUAUGCUAACGACUACGAUAUACAUAGAUCAAUAUUUUCAGGAAGGGACUUAUCGGGAUCCAAGUUUGUAGAAUUUGGAAAAUAGUUUGGCAUCUCAAGCAGGAUGAAGGUAGCAGAAGUUGAAGCAGAGCGUUACAAAUCAAAGUUGGAUACUCACACUGAUCCCCUGAUUUGUAAUAGUACCAAUUCCACGUAGUGGUAAGCUUGCAAUGGAGUUUUCUUUGGCCAAAUUGAGAACAGAAAAAGCAUGGUAUCAACUAUCAUAGCUAUUUUUCGCAGGUUUUUGAAACAGGACGCUUCGAUAGCUACAAUUACAAGAACGCCCCGAUGUCACGGGCACUGUGCAGAGAAUUACUGUCUCAUUCUCUUAUAUGAGUAUUAUCUACUGGCAACUCUUUUGGGUGUUCCCAAAGGUAUGAUCAUUUGAGGAAAAUUACAAUCUCUCUAGAAACGCAACUGUUUGUGUAUUUAUUUCUUUUUCACUUAAAGAGUUAUGCGUAACCCAAGCAGUCUCUUUUUUGUUUCAUUAAAAAAAAAGAAUUGUCUCUCGUAUUAUGACGCAACUAACAUGUAAAAGAAUAACUGCCGAAAAGUCUCUUUAAUAAAAAUAGAUUAUGACCAAAAAUAAACACAUUACGGCCUAAACAAAUUACACAUUAUUAAUGCAGAAAAAGCCAUGAAAGUAGGCAUAGAAAAAUUACUAUUACUUAAGCACAUUAAUGAUGUGGCUGUAUAUAUUAUCCGAAUUGGAGCUAAGUGAGUAAUAUUCGAGCUCCAUCAAAAAGCAAACUACUGAUGCUCUGAUUAUUAGAGAGAAUUCGUUGAUGAACACUUACUUAUAAUUAAACGUGUCAAACGGAUGGAUUGGGUCAAUUUGAGGUAAGUUGAAAAUGUUUUUGAUUCAAAUUGGCUCAUUCAAUCCAUAUUAAUCUAUUUUAUCUAACACAACUUUCGCAAUCCAUACUUGAUUCAACUUAUAUACCCAACCUGACUCGGGUUCCAACUCUUACCAAUUUUUCUCCUUACAAAUGGAAAAUAGCACACUGAAAUAAAAAAACAACUUACACAUGUAAAAAUUAACAAAUAACAAAUUACUAAAAAACUUAACGAAUCAAGUUAUUAGAAUACAUUCCUUGUUUUAUCUCUUGGUUCUAGAAAUUCGAUCUAAUUUAACGGAAGAGAUCAUGUCUGAAAAAAUAUAUAUGGCAUAAAGUUAAUACGAUAUUCAUCACUAUUAACACAUGCAAUUGAUAAUUAAAGUUUGUUUCCGGCCAUCGUAGUCUCCUCACCAUGAAAUUGUACAUGUGCAUUUUAAUUAUACAAAGUUACGUCUUUCAAGGGGUAAAAUUGAAAUGAAUCUUUUAUGUAUGUCUUCCAAUAUUUUAUGUAUGUGAUUCACACACGAAAUCUUGUGCGCUCGUAUUUUAAUGCAAGGUUGUCAUAUUUUUAUCAAAAUUAACAAAAGUUGUCAUACUUUUAUCACAACGACGAAGACAAAAUGCAAGGUUGGCACCGAAAGGACUUCUUGGCGACAUCAAAUUGAUGUUCAUCAAUAUUUUAUUCAGCUAAACUUACCUCAUAUUGCCGUCCAUCAAUUUUUUAUCGCAAAGAGUCGGUACUAAAUUAUGCAUGACCAUGACCAAUUUAAGUCUUUGUUUAAUGCUUUCUUUUGGGCUAACUUCCAAGCUGUCACUCGGUGGCAAUUACAUAAAUACGAGGAGAAAGAACGGUAUUUCCCCAAGAUUUCGAAUCGUUAUUAAUUGUGUUUUUAUUGACUGAUUCGAUCAAUCACAUUUGUAUCCUAAAAACCUGGAUAGCACUUAGCAUGGUUAUUUUCCUUUUUGACAUCUCUCCUCCUCUCGCAUAAUCUCACUUGGAAAUCUUCAAUUUAAUAUAUCUCUCCCUCCUGAAAUAGUAUCUCAAUUCGAUAUAAAGAAAAUACAGUAUUGCUUUGACUGAUUUUUGAAGUAUAACCUCGAUAUAAUUAACUGUCGAAGAACGAAGUGACUAUUAUGUCUAAUUAGAUCUACUUAGUAAUUUAUGUUUGGGAGCAAGUUGAAUUAGGUGAACUCGGCAUUUAGUCAAAACAAGAGUAAAAUAGAAGCGUUUAAAUAUAUUCUUAGAAACAGACCAAUAUAUAUAUUCAUAGGAAAAAAAAUUCUUAAAAAUAAUGGAUACAUAUGACGUAUAACAAGGGGGCAAUUUUAAAGUUGGUUCCCACUACUCUUCAAUCUGAUUGCUAAAGUUUAAUUUUGUUUGACUUGGCUUUUUUUUUUUUUUUUUUUUUUGGAAAAGCGAUUUACUUCAUUCAAUAAAGUUCAAAGGAUAACAUAAGUUAUGGGUUUUUGCACCUAAAAGAUCCCAUAGAGGUGAUGAUGGCACUAUAAGCCAAUUGUGAGGAAGAGCCUUCUUGCUAUGGGUUUUGGCGAGCCAAUUUGCAACUUGGUUUGAUUUCCUUGGGCCGGAUGCCGAUUCCACCAAACUGGAUCGGGCGAGCAUCUCUUUACAGUCUUCAAUAAUGGGUCUCAGCUCCCAUGGGCUUGGGUUUUGGCCCACUAUCAUCUUCACAAGUGAUAAAUUAUCUGACACCUAUCUCCAAGUGCAAAUCUUGUCUCCGUCACUAAAAUGGAGAACUUACGCAAGCGAAAAAUAGUAUCGGAUCCUUACCGCUCACUGUGCAAAGACCGGGCGGAAUCCACAGAGCAUCUCCUUCUCUCUUGUCCUUGGACGCGAGACAUAUGGGCUUAACCAUCCCUAAACAUUCAGGUUUCUUCCCAGGGGUUAAGCAGAAUAGAGAUAUAGCUAACGCAAUUCCUCAAAAGCACAGAAAACCCGCCUUCUCUGGCGCUUGUAGUAGCCAUCUUUUGGCUUAUUGUAACAACUCCUUUCGAAAGAAACCCCCCGACCCAGCUCAAGCACUACAAGGAGCUCUAACUUCUCUCGGCAAUUGCAGGAGAUGGAAUUCAAAGCAAAAAAUCGGACCUUGACGCUCCCACCUCUUCUGAGAACUGGAAACCCCCCAAAGGUCGGAUCUUUAGAGGUCAACAUUGAUGAAUCCCUUCGUCGAAAGCUUCGUGAAAGGAGCAAUCGCCCGCAUCAUUCGAAACUCAGAGGGGACGCUUGUGGACGGCUUCGCAAGAGGAGGAAAUGCUGAUGAAAUAGGCGAUACAUCUCGACAAUGAAUAGCGUGACCUGUUUUUUAUUCCCCUUUGAAAGGACAUGCGAAUCGUUCCGACAUCGUGGCCAGAGCGCUCGAUAGGUCGGAGCGUUAUUUUCAUGAACCGAUUGUUUCUCUGCUGCAGUAGCGCAAUGAACGAUAUUCCAACAAAGUCGCAUCGCUGAACGUCUACUAGAAUUUAGACGCCUUGAUUUCUGGAGCUCUGUGAUUUCCAAAAGUUCAUCCGAAAUUGACCCCCCAUCAU
rnacentral:lncRNA from 1 species